GGACCCGCACAAGUAGUGGAGCAUGUGGUUUAAUUCGAAGAUACGCGCAGAACCUUACCAACACUUGACAUGUUCGUCGCGACUCUGAGAGAUCAGAGUUUUCGGUUCGGCCGGACGAAACACAGGUGCUGCAUGGCUGUCGUCAGCUCGUGUCGUGAGAUGUUGGGUUAAGUCCCGCAACGAGCGCAACCCUCACUUUUAGUUGCCAUCAUUAAGUUGGGCACUCUGAAAGAACUGCCAGUGAUAAGCUGGAGGAAGGUGGGGAUGACGUCAAGUCCUCAUGGCCCUUACGUGUUGGGCUACACACGUGCUACAAUGGUAUCUACAACAGGAAGCAAAACAGCGAUGUUAAGCAAAUCCUUAAAAGAUACCUCAGUUCGGAUUGCACUCUGCAACUCGAGUGCAUGAAGCUGGAAUUACUAGUAAUCG
rnacentral:rRNA from 1 species